rnacentral:rRNA from 1 species
GCUUAACACAUGCAAGUCGAACGGCAGCACGGGCUUCGGCCUGGUGGCGAGUGGCGAACGGGUGAGUAAUACAUCGGAACGUGCCCUGUAGUGGGGGAUAACUAGUCGAAAGAUUAGCUAAUACCGCAUACGACCUGAGGGUGAAAGCGGGGGACCGCAAGGCCUCGCGCUACAGGAGCGGCCGAUGUCUGAUUAGCUAGUUGGUGGGGUAAAAGCCUACCAAGGCGACGAUCAGUAGCUGGUCUGAGAGGACGAUCAGCCACACUGGGACUGAGACACGGCCCAGACUCCUACGGGAGGCAGCAGUGGGGAAUUUUGGACAAUGGGGGCAACCCUGAUCCAGCAAUGCCGCGUGUGUGAAGAAGGUCUUCGGAUUGUAAAGCACUUUAAGUUGGGAGGAAGGGCAGUCAGCUAAUACCUGGUUGUUUUGACGUUACCAACAGAAUAAGCACCGGCUAACUUCGUGCCAGCAGCCGCGGUAAUACGAAGGGUGCAAGCGUUAAUCGGAAUUACUGGGCGUAAAGCGCGCGUAGGUGGUUCAGCAAGUUGGAGGUGAAAUCCCCGGGCUCAACCUGGGAACUGCCUCCAAAACUACUGGGCUAGAGUACGGUAGAGGGUGGUGGAAUUUCCUGUGUAGCGGUGAAAUGCGUAGAUAUAGGAAGGAACACCAGUGGCGAAGGCGACCACCUGGACUGAUACUGACACUGAGGUGCAAAAGCGUGGGGAGCAAACAGGAUU